rnacentral:rRNA from 1 species
UACGUAGGGGGCUAGCGUUGUCCGGAAUCAUUGGGCGUAAAGCGCGUGUAGGCGGCCCUGCAAGUCGGGUGUGAAAUCCCACGGCUCAACCGUGGAAGUGCACUCGAAACUGCAGGGCUAGAGUCCUGGAGAGGAAGGUGGAAUGCUUGGUGUAGAGGUGAAAUUCGUAGAUAUCAAGCGGAACACCGGUGGCGAAGGCGGCCUUCUGGACAGUGACUGACGCUGAGACGCGAAAGCGUGGGGAGCAAACAGG